ACUCCCUACGGGAGGCAGCAGUGGGGAAUAUUGCACAAUGGGGGAAAGACCCCUGAUGCAGCCAUGCCGCGUGUGUGAAGAAGGCCUUCGGGUUGUAAAAGCACUUUCAGUAGGGAGGAAGGUAGUGUAGUUAACACCUGCAUUAUUUGACGUUACCUACAGAAGAAGCACCGGCUAACUCCGUGCCAGCAGCCGCGGUAAUACGGAGGGUGCGAGCGUUAAUCGGAAUUACUGGGCGUAAAAGCGCAUGCAGGCGGCCUGUUAAGUCA
rnacentral:rRNA from 1 species